GAAUAAUUUAUUUUCAGCAGAUCUGCAUUGUAAGAAAAAUGAGAAGAAUUCCUUCAGGAAGAAGAAAAAUGAUACCAGAUGGAUAUGUGGAUCCACAUAAAGGAACGAAGAGCACAGGAAAUAGUAACUAUACUGUCUUGCUCUGUCACCCAGGCUGGAGUGUGGUGGUGCGAUCUUGGCUCACUGCUAGACUGGUUGGAUCCAGGUGCUGAAUUCAAUUUACUCUUGAUUUAUCUUGUGUUUGUAUUCAGAAGUGUGUUUCUCAGCUACUCAGUGUAAGAACUAAUGUUUAAGCCAAGAUGACUCUUCUGUUAUUUGGAACACAAAGCAACUAGAUUAACUUUUGCCAGGAGACUGACUACCAAACUCAUAUAAACACUGCACAGACAGCCCAUGCCGGCCCCCCACAGACACUUGCUGUCACCUCCAUGGUCUUUCUUGAGUUCUCUUAGACUAACAUUCUGUAAUUACUGCUGCCUUCCUUUCUUCCGAGGGCUGCACCCUCUAGCCCAGUACUCCUCACGCUGUCAUGUACAUUUGAAUUACUGGGAAUUUUACUGAAAAGCAGUUUCUUAUUCAGCGGGUCUGGGGUGAGGCUUGAGAUUUUACAU
rnacentral:lncRNA from 10 species